AUGGCCCCUGAUUCCAGCAUCCUGUCUCCUUCUCUACCACCCAGGCUGCAGAGGAGACUGAUGAGCACACGUUACAAAGGCGGUGAUGCUUGGAGAUGUAGAGAACUGGAAAGAACGUGGCUCUUGCCAUCACAACAACAACCAAAACAGCUGGACAAACUACAAGGUAACAGCUUUCCUUGCACCUCUCAGAGAACACGGGCCACAGGGCUAUCCCGGAAUCUAGGAGAAGCAGGCAUCUGCGAAGGAGGCACAGGAUUCAAGCAUUUGCUCAUUUACAGACCUGGGGCAGAUGUCCGCAGCACUGAGAAGUAUGUGGGCUGAGCCCUGCCUUCCCGACAGGGAACAGAACUGGAGAGGUCAAGGCUUACCCAGCCUUGUGUAGGCUAGGUAACUGUCGGGCACCGAAACUGCACUUUCUUUUUAACAACAAAGGUACAGAUCGCCUUUUAUUUUACCAUAUCAAGAUUGGUUACUCAAAUGCCUUUUUAUAUCUGUGGCUUUAUUCCAGAAAACUGAGGUUGGGAGGUAAAUGACCUCCAUAUUAAUGAGGACAAGUGGACUAUCCAAUGUUUCUUUAUACCAAGGCCUUUAAUUCCUGGAUAUGACAUUAUUUUGAACUUAGAGGAAGGGUACAGCAGAACUUCAUUCUAUCUGUCUUAUCAGCCUAUCUGACAUCAAAGCAGCGCCUGAGUCAGUGAUUUGGGUAAAGGCAGAUACAAGCACUGGAGAGGGCCCUCAAGAGAGAGGGAGUGCAGGAAGCGGGAUGGGCAGGGGAGGAGGCUAAGCAAGGAUGUGGUCUUGGCAGGAUCUACUUUCGGGGCGAUCAUGUAUGGAGUUCUGGAGCACUAAAUACACCUGUUAUGUGAGUCAUUGCCACUUUGAGGCAGUGGGGAUAGCCUUUGUGGUGAGAAGGGGAGAACUAUUCUCUCACAGUAGCUGGGGAAUUUGUGUGGGGACCAAGUAAAGGGAAUCUGGAAAGGGAACCGCCAUCCCAGCUCUCCUGUCCCUCAGUCAUUUGAAGGAUUAACGGGUGAGGGCCAUACAUAGCUGUUUGCAUUACCAUAGAAAGACACAGAAUAAUCAAAAGGUUUGAAUUGGAACUAAAGAAAACCUGCUGCCUUUUAGAUGGUUGGGCACGCUGGAAAAGGAGAUUAAGUAGGGAGGUGGGAAAGCUGGUCUGCAAUGGUCACUUUCCUCUACCACUUGCAAAACCAUUCAAUUGAAGUGAGAAUGAGUUUGGUCCAUGGCUGACGACUUCAGAACCUUCUGCUAUUCUUUCUGAUGAUGUCUUCGCAGAAGGCCCAUUGCCAGCCUUGAGACUGCUGAUUUCAAGGCACUUCUAAGACAAAAAUAAAAAUCCCAUUACUUUCUGUGGAAGAUGAUGGUCUGCUCCUUUUGAGCUGGGCCAGAGGGAGCAUUCAGAAUACAUUGCUGGAAGUAAAUGGAAUUUUUCAGCUAUUUAAAUUGCAAUUCACCCCCUGAAAACUCCAUUUUAUCAAAACUCCUGGUUAAUACUGUUUUCCAUGCUCGGGUAUUCUCCCCAGAUACACAUGCAAGA
rnacentral:lncRNA from 1 species